CAGCACCUCAAGUGGUCAGGAUGAUUAUUGGGCCUAAAGCACCCGUAGCCGGCGCUGUAAGUUUUCGGUUAAAUCUGUACGCUCAACGUACAGGCUGCCGGGAAUACUGCAGAGCUAGGGAGUGGGAGAGGUAGACGGUACUCGGUAGGAAGGGGUAAGAUCCUUUGAUCUAUUGAUGACCACCUGUGGCGAAGGCGGUCUACCAGAACACGUCCGACGGUGAGGGAUGAAAGCUGGGGGAGCAAACCGGAUUAGAUACCCGAGUAGUCC
rnacentral:rRNA from 1 species